CAAAGUUUAAGCAAACCAAAGAGAGCAAAAGAUUUUCGAAUUUCUAAUGGCUUCUCAGCUUCUUUUGUUGGCAUUCCUUGCCGUAUCUUCUUCCAUUGCUUCGGCAUCUGACCCGAGUUCCCUUCAGGAUUUCUGUGUCGCUGAUAAAGCCUCAGUACUGGUGAAUGGUUUUGCGUGCAAGGACUCCAAACUUGUCGAUGCCAAUGACUUCUUCUUCAGCGGACUUCACCUAGCAGCAGGCAACACAUCCAACCCAGUUGGCUCACGGGUGACCCCCGUUAAAGCAGUCCAAAUUCCAGGACUUAAUACUCUUGGUAUCUCCAUGGUGCGUAUCGAUUAUGCCCCAUGGGGUAUUAACCCUCCACACACGCAUCCUCGCGCUACAGAAGUCUUGAAGUCCUGGAAGGGAGCCUCCAAGUGGGUAUUAUCACUUCCAACCCAGAAAACCGUCAUAUCAGCAAGGUGCUUCAGAAGGGUGAUGUGUUUGUAUUCCCAGUAGGACUUGUUCAUUACCAACACAAUGUUGGAAAUAGUAAUGCAGUAGUCCUUGCUGCUCUCAGCAGCCAAAACCCUGGUGCCAUUACUGUUGCAAAUACAAUAUUUGGAUCAAAGCCUGACAUCCCUGCUGAUGUUCUUGCAAAGUCUUUCCAAGUGGACAGCAACGUAGUCUUCGAUUUGCAGGCAAAAUUUUAGAGUCCCAUUGGAAUCUCCGAUUCAAUCG